rnacentral:ncRNA from 1 species
GUGUCGUGCGGACAUGGACGGUGAAAAGGGAAUUGGGUGAGAAUCCCAUGCGGUUGACAGUCGCCGUAUGUGUCCGAACGUCACCGUAUCCGUCGGCGAAAGCCGGUCAUUGGGAAACCGAGAAGGCAGGGUACGGACAGGCUCAAAGAAAGGGUCGGUUUUUGACGCGCGAAAGUUUGCAUAGGACACAAGUCGGAAGACCUGCUUUGAU